rnacentral:lncRNA from 1 species
UGGUAUCUAGGUUGAUUUUUGAGCCGAUAGUAUACUAUAGUAGAUAUUGGAUAUUUUGUUGGACUAACCCCUACAGGAAAACUUUCAAUAUCGACCUGGGAAGUCUUGAGAUAAACUCACAUUAGAGACAAAGAGAGAGACACAUCAAGUUUAACAAUUUACACAAGGAAGACGUAGCUCAUAAGAGAUGAUCCAUGGAGGGUGCCACAAACACGAUGCACAACCGCUAAGAAAGGAAAGCUUCCACAAGGUGAUACUGUACCAUCACUCUUCAAGUAAGGUAACAUCUUAAGGUAUUUGACUAUGACUUUUAUAAGCUUCUCCUUGGUUCUGGCGUUCACAUAAAUAAAGAGACAAACAUGUAUGAUUUAUAACUCCAAAUUAACCACCCAACUGAUUCAGCAUGUUUAGUCCUUUAAUCUUUGUUCCUAGUACUACCUCCAUGAUCCCACACUCCUAAUCAUAUGAGCUAAAAUGUUGCACAUUCAAUCUUUGGGAAGAUAUAAAGAAAAAGACAUAUAUAUAGAUAGAUUAUCUUUCCAUAAGGUUGAGCGAUCUGAUCUGACAAAUGUUUUAAAGCUACACUCAUGAACUUAUCACCCAUCAACUUUGUCUUGCUCCCUAUGCUUAAGGAUAGAGAAGAAUAAAUAUACUUUUGGUUCUGUUGGUGUUUUCCACCAACAGGACUCAUGCACUUGAUCUCUGCCUUGUCUCUACGAGCAGGACACAUUUUGAGAAACACGGAGGAUUUUUCAACUCUCAGACUCUACCAAGUGAAGGACCUGGAUCUACGAGCACAAACAUACUGAGCAAAAUACUGCCAACGCCGCACUUCGAACUGCUGGGCAAACGAAGAACAUGGGUGAUACCGUAUCAAGAGGUGCAGACGUCAAGGUCCACACCUAAAUCAAAUGACGCACCUAAAGAAUGAACACGGUGAGAAGUCUUGAUCAGAAGACUUAAAACAUUGAACCCUCGUCGAAAGGUAAAAUCGGUAGUUAUCUAUAUUUAUCCUUUCUGCAUUCCUUUUUCCCUUAAAUUAUUUACUUUCCUUAAAUAGCUUGUUAGUUAAUCAUGUUAUCUUGAAAAUAAAAUAAAAAUGUUAAAAAUAGUAAGCCCCAUGUGAGUAUGCUCGUGGCAUAAAACCCAUAAGUACAUUCACUGUGGCGGCGUAAAAAUAAAAUAAAUAUAUUUCUGUCCUAUAGAAAUGAAAAUAUAAAAAUAAAUUUAUGAUCCUACUAAAGAGAGUAAUAUUUAUUAGAGGAAGCUCAACAUGAUAAAGGCAAAGAGAUUUUAUGCUAACACUUAACCAGUUCCACAAAGCUUUGUUGUCUAUUUGAGCUCCACAGAAUUUAAGGAUCAAAGAAGACUAGUAGACGGAGGACAUCCUAAUCGCUUUCAAGGUGCUGCCGAUAUUCAAAUACACUUCCGCCACCUGCUAGCUGCAUCAGAAGAAAUUAUGUCGAAAUCCAGCUUGGGGGAGAGCACCCCCAUUUACCCAGCUAAGUGUUUAUAUUCACGUUUAUACUUUACUCAAAUAAUAAAAAAUGCAUAAUCAUAAAAACCCAAAUAAAGAUUUUAUGCUUAUAUAUAUAUAUGUAUUCUUAGUUUUCUAAAUAAGUAAAUAAAUAAAGUUUGCUAUGAACCCUCAUGAUAAGCUCUCACAUGGAAAUGAUGAAUAGUUGCUCUGCCAUGACUAGUUCUCAAAACUGAAUUCUCUCUCAAGUUUAGGCAUGACUGUGAUGAAUUAAGAUUUGCUCUAAACCUGAACUUGUGGGAAGAGUACUUGAUCUAAAGUCUAAGUUGUUAACUGAUAUGAUAUAGAAAGGUUGAGCUACUGUUUAUCUGUUCCUAGAGAUGCUAGAAUUCUAGAGAAUUUUAUCUUUGAAAAUCUUUAAAAUGUUGCAUGAUGAGUUCCAGUAUGAUGAGAGUUUAAAAUCCUACCACAACCAUAUAUACAUGCUUAUUAGACUAUGAACCAUACAUUUACUUUUUACUGCUUAUGAGCAUUGAGUGUGGUCAAGCUGUGUAGACCCUUAGGAGCUUGUCAUGCGGUUAAAAUCAAGAUUCACUUGCACGUUCACUCAUACAUGCUGCUUCUACUCUAGAAGUACGCAUCCACAUACAUCCACUCAUUUCCAUCUCCAGAUUCACCCAAAAUUAUUCUACUCCUAUCCAGGAGAGAAUAGGCAAAAACAUUAUCCUAUCCCUGUUAUUCCCCGUGAAAUAAAUGCUCGAGAUAUUUUGGUUACUACCACUUGCUACAUUAUUCCAGGCGGGUGAGUGCUCUAAAAAAAGAAAAAAAAGAAAAAAAAAGUGAAUACGAGGAAAUAAAAAGGGGCAAGUGCCCGGAACCUCGAAAGAAAAGAAAAAGUAAGACGAGAGGUAAAAAUGGACAAGUGUCCGACAGUAGAAUUAGGGGUACAAGAUAACCACCUGAGAGAAAAGAAAAAGAAAAUAUAGAGCAUCUCAUUCCCCUCAAAAAGCUUCAAAGUGCAAGAAAGGUAUGUAUCCCCUCAAAAGAGCAAAAGUAGAAUUAGACUUUCACCAUUGUUUUCACCAUCAUCACCAUACACCAUUCAUUUGCCACACAUGCACAUCUUGAUUUGACUUAUUGACCUGUUAUUCUGGAUCCAUGGUUUGACUAUGCAAUAAAUGUCUUGUAAGUAUGUAUACUUUAUCUCCCACCUAUGAGCUCCAGAUAUUAAGCCUUAUUAGAGUAGGAUGAGAGAGAAGGCAAUGUCACUAUGCCUCAUACCACAAAUACCACAUACUUUGAGAGAAGGCAUAUACCAUCACUGUCUUGGUAAGGAUCCAGAAAUACCACAAAAGAGAGAAUUAAGAGAGUCAUACAAGGAAUCUCUGAGUUUUAUUUUGAAAAUCUAAAAAAACUCCAGAGCUAUAGUUGAUCAAGAACAAGAGACAUGGCGCUUGACUUGACCGUUCUAUAUUUUAACUGCUCAAGACAUAAGUGACGGUUGCAAGCCCCAUGGUGGAAGGUAAUAUGAGUAAGUUUAAAUCUUAACAGUUUACCCUAACUCAGAGAUGAGAUCUUGUUUGAACGCAUGUGUACCUUUAAGGCAUGAAACCACUGCAGAAACCCUUGAGUCCAUCCUUGCUCAAGGAUGAGCAAGAGGUAAGCUUGGGGGAGUUGUUUGUUGACGGUCCUUAAGUAUCAAAUUUAAUUAUCAAAUAAACAAAGAAAAGGUUCCAAAUGAAAUCAACAUCCAGACUUAGGGUUUUAUCUGACAGAAUUCCACGAGUUUUGGUGUUUGUCUAUUUCUGUAGAGGGUUAUUAGGAAAUAUGGCAGAAAGGCCCACACGUCGGGAUUACAUAGAGAUAUUAACGUGCCGUGCAAUUACCUUACAUCUAGAAGACUCCAGAAGCCACGGGAAUGAAGCGGAGGCAGAACAGAGCAUGGCCUAGGGCGCCCGCCCUAGGGACCAAGGCGCCCGCCCCCUGUUAGAGUCCAAUCAGAACUCUCUUUUGGGAUUACGCUCCACCGACCUAAAGGAUCAAGGAUAACCGUUCAAUCAACGUCAGUUUGAUCCGAUGGCCCAUAUUCACUUGGAAGGACAAUAAAACCAGACCGCUGGCCCCUGGAGGAGAGGAUCUCUCAACCCUAAUUCAUUAUUCAUCAAGGGAGAAGAAGCCUCUGAUCAAGCCUAGAGCCACCACAUCCAAUAGACAUCUAGAUUAGCAUAGCUACAUAGGAUUAGAACUAGAAGGCAUCAAUCUUCGAUUGGUUUCCGGAUCUAUCAAGAGGAUUCUUGGUAAUUCUCUCUUGUUCUUCAAUUGUUCAUCUUUGUUCUUCGAUAUUAUGAAUAUGACUUUGUUCUACUUCAAUAUAUUGAUUAUGACUUUGCUCUACUUGUUUAUAUUCACAAUUAUAUUGUUCUUAGUUUAUCAUAGUUAUAUACUUGGCUUAGUUAGAUAGGAUCUAUAUACAUGUUUAGGAUCGUAUAGCGUUUAUCCAUCGGAUCCAUGGGUAAAUGAUAGAUAUUGUGUAGGUGUGGUGCUUAUACCGUAUUUAUCUGCGAUUGUACCCAAUAUGCCAGAUCGUGGGGUAGUUCGUGGUAGUGACAGCUCCAUUGAUUCUUAUAUAGUCCCCCUCUCGUGUAUUGGGGUGGUAGAGCAACAUUAUUACAGGGUAGUGAUUACGAUGUUUCUCAUAUUCCUUGCUAAUAUCACUAUGCAUGGGCGUAGUCCUGUCUCGCAAUGAUUGCUAAGUAUAAUUCCAUGCUAAUGACUUGCUAGAAUAUCUAAUUGAGGUGCUUAUCAUAUUUAUUAUGUGGCUAAGUUGUGCUGAUCAGAUUAAUUAUCUUUGUCACCAUUCAUUACUUUAUAUAUCCUUUAUGUGACACUUAUCCCUAUAUGAAAGAGUUAGAUAAAUGUUCUCAAUUAUACAUGCAAUGAUAGAUACUCAAUCUUAUAUUUCAUUCUAUAAUCAACAUUGAUGGUUAUUAAUCCCUUCCCAGUGGUAAAAAUAUAAAUAACGAUACCUGGAAUACUUCCCGGUUAAAAUGCUACAUCGGUAUUAAUCUGUGCGCUUGCAGAUCCCAUUCAUUCUUUAUUUAGAUGAGCAAUUGCAUAUUUCAAUACCGCGUCUCUCACGUCAUACUGGGGAUGACAACUUGGCUUAAGUGGUAUGAGGGAUAGGUUUGGCAUUUUUGGCGCCGUUAUCAGAAUUAGAAAACUAAGUCUACUUUUGGUAAUGAAGUUAAUAAUACCCAACAUUGUUGACGGUCCUUAAGUACCAAAUUUAAUCAUCAAAUAAAUAAAGAAAAGGAUCCAAAUGCAACCAACACCCAGACUUAGGGAUUUAUCUGAUAGAAUUCCACGAGUUUUGGUGUUUGUCUAUUUCUACAGGGGGUUAUCAGGAAAUAUGGAGGAAAGGCCCACAUGUCGGGUUUACAUAGAGAUAUUAACGUGCCGCACAAUUUUCUAUCAUCUAGAAGACUCCAGAAGCCACGGGAACGAACGGGAGGCCGAGCGGGCCCGGGGGGAGGGCGGGCGCCCGCCCUACUUUUUCCACCAAUCAGGCUCCGCUUCGAGGAUUAUGCUCCACCGCCUUUGAGGAUCAAGGAAAACCAUGCGAUUAUGGUCGGUUUGAUCCGACGACCCAUAUUCAUUUGGAGGGACUAUAUAAGCAGACCCCCUGGCCCCUAGAGGAGGCACCCCUUCAUCCCUAUUCAUUAUUCAUAGACAUAGCAAAAGCUAGAGUUUGGAGAUGAGAGCUCUCCUCUCUUCUCUAAACUAGAGUAGAUCUAGAUAGUGGCGAGAUGGAGAGCGAGGGAGGAUUGGAGGAGAGGCCGGCCUGUCGGUUCUUCCUCCAGUUGUACUUUGCCAUGAUCAAGCUCUAAUUAUGCUUGCUAAUGGGAUGACUCUGGUAAUCUACUUCUAUUUCAUUAUGCAAUUACUAUUCAUGUAUAUUCUGGUUCACAACUCUUUUGAGUACUUUUAAUCUAUAGGACCCUAUAGGUUAGAGUUGUAGUAUAGGUGUAAGCGUGGUGCUUAGACCUAGAUUAAUUGUGGAUAUCCCCUGUCUAGCCAGAUCGUGAGGUAGGCCGCGUAGGUGACAGUUACGUUGGUCCCCUAUAGUCCACCUCCCGUUAGCAGGACUGGUAGGGUUUAUCGGCCUAUGGAUAAGCAUCCUUUGUGGUGUAAUCUUAUCACGUGGUUCGUCCCAAACAUAGACAUACCCCUUUGAAGUAGAGAAACCAUAGUUAUCCUCUCUAUUCUCCUACCAUCGCCCAUAUACUAGAUUGCUCUACCCUCUAUUCCCAUAUUAUCACCCAUUGUUAUCUUACGUUUAAUAUUGUUCUUAUUCAAUUCUACCAUCUUUCCUAUUUACACCUUCACAUCUAUCUAGGUUAAGUUAGAGCGUAGAUCAGUUCUCCCGUUUCCCUGUGGAUACGAUAAACCUUUAACCAGGUAAAAGCUACAAUGGUAUCCGUGCGCUUGCGGAUUUAUCUGUGUGCGUAUAAAUACCAUAGUACACUCUAGUGCCAUGCUGGGGAUGACAACCUAGUAUUCAAGUGGUGUUAGCAAGUGUCAACAGUGGCAACAUGUGUCACUCCCUUUGUUGCCAUGACCCAUUGUGACAUCGAAAAAAGUAGGUUGCAACAUGCGUACCUCCCUCUAUUGCCAUGACCUGUUGUUACAUCUUUAAAAGUAGGUUGUGAUAGGAUAAAUUAUCUAUUGCAACGAAUGGUGUCGCUUUUAAUAUUUUUGUACAUACUGCCACGUGUCACCAACAAUUAAAAAUAUUAUUACAAUAUAAAAUCAUCACAAUUAAACAAUCAAACAUGCAUCAAAACACAACUUAACCAUAAAUGUAGCACACAAAUUAUAGCACACCACAUACUUAAAUGUUUCUCACUCUCCAUCCAACCACGUGCACACAUGUAGCACUGAAUUAAAAUGUUUGGGGACGACCACACACACACUCCACUGGUUCAAAGAAAUCAAAAUGGUGACGAAAUGGAUUGAAAUGAAUAUCAUCCUAGGCACUUGAUCAACAAUCCCAUCACUUGAUCAGCAAAGGAUGAUGACUCAAAGUUGAUCCCAUCACUUGUCGCUCCAUCGCAAUGCCUUUACUUUCCUAGAAAGAAUGAAUGACAUAUUUUUAGCAUCAAGUAAACUGAAAUUAACAUUAAGGGUACAUAGUAGCAGACACUAAACCAAAGUUUCAUUACUGAUCAUAAAAUUAUAUGAAUUUCUCAUUAAAAAAUUAAAUGAAUUGACCAUCAUAAAAUUAUCAGAAUGACAACAUGUAAUGAACUCAACUAUAAACACUUUGACAGCUGAAGAAGAAACAUUCACCUGCUGGCUUCUUGAUGUUGUCGUUUCAUUUCUUAGGUACCUGCCUCAACUGCUAUAGAGUAAUGAAUUUGCCACUGCUGCCUUAGAUGGUUCAUUUCUUCUAGCUUUACCACUUCUUGUCAGCUGAGCGCCAAUUGCCCUUUCUUGAGAUUCCUCCAGGUUGCCUUCAGGCUCCUUGUCCUGGGAACAAAUAAGAUGGAAGGAUAAAAUUAAUUAGGCACCAUUUUGUGCAGUAUCAGAUGAUAAAAAGUUGUCAAUUCACAGUCAACCUGAUUUGAGGAGACCAAAAUUUCUAUGGUAGGGUCAUCAACUUGAGAACUUGUGUUUUCGGCAGCAGCCGCCUCCUCUGCAAUUGCAGUGACAUUGUUGUUUGGCUGGACAUAUACAGAUGGUUAGUUAUAGACCGAAAGGAAAUAAAGUCAUUCAAUAACUAGCUUUUACAAAUUAACAUUUUGCAUUACUAGUACCUGCUGCAACCCUGGCUGAGCUUGUCCUGCUAGCCAUGCUUGGAUCUCUUGCCUAAAUGCUUCUUUAUCAGCCUCCCUUGCCCUCAUAACUUCUUCAAUCUGUGCUGCAUAAAAUGACCUUUGAGCUUGCCUUUCAGCUGCCCUGUCAGCUUCCCAUGAAUUCAUUUGUUCUUGUAGCCUCUCAAAUUCUUCCAUGAGUUCGAGGUGUUCCCGAUGCUUUUGCUCAUCCCUACGAAUUUGUUCCUCGCGAUCCGCAUUCAGCAGCUGCCUUCUAGUUGGGUUUUUUGCAAGGUAUCCAUUACCAUGCAACUUUUUUGAUUUGCACUUUGUGACUUCCUUGUAUGCCUCCUGGAAAAGCUCGUUCCUCUCCUUUAGGGAAAGGAAGUUUCCCUCUACAUUUGAUUCUUUAUCACAAAUAACCCUCCUUGCUGUCUCCUAAAAUUUACAACGCGCGGAUGAAAGAGUUAGUUGAUGAUGACAUUGCAGGCAUUAUCUACUUGCAUGCACCAGCAAUUAUGCACAAGUGCAUUAGGAACUUACAUAGACUUCUUCAGAUGCUUGGUCUUUCCAUGCCCCAUUUUUAGUGUGAGUAAUGUACCAAAGGUCCAAGUCAUUAGGCUCCUGACCAGUUUAUGGGUCUCUCUGAUAUGACAAGAACAGAACAAAUUAGUAAAUCUUGCAGCAAUAAAGCUUGUAGAUGUGCUUCUAUAUUAAUUACCUUCUCAUAGCUACACUGAGAAAAAGGCUUAGAUCCUGACAAAUGAGUGGUCUUUUUCUGGGAUCGAUUCCCAGCGUUCUUCAAGCUCUUUUCCUAGAGAAUGCAAUUUUAACAGACAUCUUAAUGAUUUAGACAUCGCCAUUUUUCCUAAAUUGCUAUUGUUAAGAAUAGUCAGAAUGUGGAACAAACCAUGAACUUUGCACUAUUAAAAUAUUUCAACAAAUAGUGCCAUUCUACAAUGUCCAAUUCUUCAGGCUUAUGGCUCAUUCUCUCUUGGUACGUGUUGUAUGCCUUGGCUGUAGCACUUAAAGUUGAUCGCACCCUUUGUAACGCUCUUUAGCAAUAGUCUAUAUCUUCAUCUUUGAAUGAUGUCCAUCCUCAAGGUCCCACCUAGCCUGUUAUAUAAUUAAAGGACAUACAAAUACAUGGUCAGUUGUUACGUUAUUGCAAUAAUUAAAAUCUAUACUCAAGCAAAUAUUAUUACCAAUAUGUCAGAUGCUAUUGAUUGUUUUACAUCAUCAUGGAUAACUUUCCAUGUUCUAACUCCAAUGAGUGGCGCCCUCUUCCUUGUAAACACCACUAUUUCAUCAGUGAACGUGCGCUUUGUCACCUACCGCUCCUCCAAGUUUGGAGAACUCAACAUAGAGCUUCUGAUUGCUAGACUUGUGUCUCUUAGAGAGUGCCUUCAAGCAUUUGAGGGUACCACAUCCUCUUUUCUUCCCAUUUUCUGAGCCUAUUCCAUGGCAACAAGAUGUUACAACGGAUAUUAAACGACGACAGCAGUUGAGGGUACCACUUCUUCUUUUCUUCCCAUUUGCUGAUCCUAACCUCAGAGCUAAGUGAUCAAAUAAAAUUAGUUUGUCUUUAUGGCUAGAUAACUUUGUUUAUGGUUCCAUAUCAAAUGACAUAAUGCCUAAGCUCAGAGCUAAGAGAUCAAAUAAAAUUGGUUUGUCUUUAUGUCUCAGAGCUAACAGAUCAAAGAAAAUUACCUUCAACUGGUUUCCAACGUCGAGCAUGAGAUGGUGCCUUCUCUGUUGGUGAUCGGUUGCUGUCUUGACUAGAAUAUAUAUGAUGGCCAGGAUCAUUAAAAGCAUCUGCAGACAAUAUUGUCACAUGAUCAGCUAGCAUAAUUUGAAGCUUGCAAAAGAAUUGUAAUUUGUCAUCAAGAUAUUACUGAUGUCAUCAAGAUCUCCUUGAACCUUCAACCAUUCUAUAAAUGUAUUGAUUGUGUCCUCCCUGUAUAUAUCUUGUAACUCUGAAAAAGAACAAUAAUAUGAGUCAUGAGUGCACAUUGCAAAAUCCAUAUACAUAUACACCAGGGAUUUAUGUAACUCACCCAAGGCUUCGCCCUUGGAAUGCAGAUAAGCUAGCCAAUCUUUGUAACCAUCUAGAUCAAAAGCUUCGUCUUCUUCAUCAUCGGAGCUACCUUUCUUCUUUUUAAUGGGUGUUAUGGCAACACAUAGGUCGUUUGCUUGAUUCUUUGACAAAACUAAUCUAAUCUCACUCUCAUCCUGGCAACUAUCUACCAUGUCUGAUAGAUCAACAUCUAUUCAAGUUCUUGUAUUGCUGAGUCAGGAUCAUCAACACUUCUCCUCUUGUAAUACAUGUAGUCCCUGGACCCAUACCCCAGUUUUGAUUUCAAUGUUAUUAAGUUACCUAGAGUGAGAAGACUCUUCUCAAUAGAAAAUGACCUAUGAAACUAUUCUCCCUCCUCAGUCCCCUUGUCCACUUAUCCUCCAUUCUGCAUAUUAAGCGAUGACAAUUUCUUUAAAUCGCUAGAGAGAAUGAUGCAAUAGCAGAGAUUGAUAAGAACACUACUGAAACUAUUAAUAACAAAUAUUUUCUACUUGCAUGCAAUAGAUCAUGAUAAUUAAUAACAAGAUCCACAGGAUUCUCUACUUGCAUGCAAUAGAUCAUGUGACAAUAUUUUCUGCACAUGCUUUUAGUUUAAUCCUAGCUAUCAAAUCUAAUACAUUCCAAACGAAUCUAAUACACAGCAACCGAUCCUGAGAUGUACCUAUUCUCGAUCGUGUCCUGAGACGCAGGUACGAAUUCUUCUUGGCUGUCGUGGAUUGCGUCGUCGUUGGCCGAACUUUGUGCCGCAAAGAGUGAAGCCUUCGCCCUACAUCUGCUGGGCGCGACCAUGGAAGGUGCAGUUGUUGGUGUCACCGUGGUUGUAGUAAGCAACACCGACGCAGGUGUGCGCAGCGCUGUCAACGACGAGGGGGUCCCCCUUGUCUUCUCGCUCGAUGUCGGCAUCUUGCCUGGAAGAGGAAAACUCACAGUGUUGCGGCGGCGGCGUCGUCUACUAAACCUAAUCGAGCAAAAGGGGAUUAAUUAAGAGGGAGUCAGCCUAUAUAUCAACAUGGAAUUUCGGCUUAAACGUGGUAAGUGGCUUGUUAGUUUGGCGCUCUUGCCAAAAAAAAUUGGAGGGAAAAAAUGGUGCCACUUUUGGUUCCCAGUGCGAUGGCUACAAAAUUUGGAAACACAAAAAAACACGCGUUUGUACUUAAUUGUUGGCGCUCAUGUGAUGUGAUCUUCUGACCAUGUUUAGUUUAUGACGUGUGCUUAUAAUCUACUGCUAUAUAGUCUUUUACACGUCCAAAUUUUUUUUGCUGGUGACGUGUGCUGUAGUGGUAGAAAGCAAGGAAGAUGAUUUCUUUGUUUAAGUAAUAGAACACAGCUGUAAAUGAGCAUUAAUUUGUCAUCCUGGACUAGCUCACAUUGUCACAAAAAAUUCCAUGCAAUAAAGAGUGACAAGAGUCAUGCACAUAAAAUCAGCAGACCUCAAGUACUAGCUCACAUUGUCAUAUAAUCUAUUGGAGCUUAUGUGAAUCCCAUCAAAACACACACAUGCAUGCUCACAUUAUACCAAUACUCUCAUAGGCGCCCCCAGCACCAGGAAGCCAGCCAGCAGCCCUCCUAGCAGCAGUCUUAGAAUGAAUUGGUGACACACAAAAGCCACAAAAUAUCAUUAGCACACACAUAUUUAAAAGGUACGACAGUACUUAAUUAUAUAUUUACAAAGUACUAACAUCUAUAUAAUUAAUUAAAGUUUUUCUUCCCAACAGCACCACCACAGUCCUACUAGUUCAAAUUCUAAGUCUACUGCUAUAUAGUAGAUCAAUCUGCAGCAUCAUUAGCCCAAAGGUGCCCAUACAUAUUGUAAUCCCAAAGCAGCUUCAUCCACAUCUGCUCCAUGUUAUGAUCAAUCUUGGUCUUCACCUCUUGCUUCAUCUUGUCACAGAUUGUUGCACUGUCUUCCCUAGUUUGUAGCUGCUUCUUCAUCUUCUCAAAGAGGUCCUCCAUGUCUUCUUGCAUUUGAUGCUUUGUAGUUUCAACCCAGAAGCGGAAAGUAGCUUCUGGUUCUGCCGGCUCCUAUAAUCGAUCAUAUGCAACAGUCAUUGAUAAACAAUUAAAUAUGACCAUGCAAAACUAACAUUGAUGAUAUGUUGAAUUUUUAGCUUAUCUAAUGCAACAAACUUAUGAUAAACAUAAAUUAAUUAUGACAAAACUAGAUUAAUUUCAUUUUAACCUAAUCAAUUUAAGCAUAAAUCAUAUAUAAAGUAUGAAAUUAAUGAAAGCAUCAGUGUUGUAAACAUAUAAGGCAAAACUUUAAUAAAUCGUAACCCCUUGGGAUUGGGCGAGGUCUCGUGGUGGAGCAUACCUGGCCCUUCUGGUUGCCGCCCUCGCUGAUGAGGGUCUUCUCCUUGCCGACGGCUGGGCGUGGGAAGGUGGACGCCGCCGCCUCCAUGGAAUCAGUAUUGGACUCCAUGAGGCCGCCACCCAAGGAACAGUGGGUGUUGCGCCUUGGCUUCUUCACCACCUCCGUCGCCUCGUGAUGAGGGAGCAUCCUCCGGCCAGUGCUGUCGUCGCCAGGGGUUCCGCGCUCCAUCUCCAGGCCUCGCCACCGCGCAAUCCGCCUUGCCAAAAGCCCUCGCCUAACCGACUGUGGAAGAAGAAGAGACGAGAAAGCCGAGAAGAGUGAAACCACGCACCGAGUAGGUGGCCAUGCUUAAUAUGGGCCAGGUAGUUACGAAAAUAACCCUCACCGAUGACAUUAAUGAAGUUGAGUUGAGUUUAUUUUCUCACAAAUAUAGUUGAGAUCAAAGUUUGCCGUUUUUGAAUGGAGACCUCUUCGAUGCGUGACUAGGACAUGUGUAGCACAAAUUUUACCAAACCACUUGAAACUUUUUUAGGAUGUUUAUGUAGGUGAGGGAUGAUGUUGUGUGCACCUAGGCAAUUUUUAGACAAAUUUUACCUAUUUCUGUAAUUAUUUGUUGAUUUUGUAAAGAAAAAUGGAAACAAUGCCUGAGGUGCCUAGACAAAUCUAAAAACUUGUAUGGUCACAUAAUUUAGCUGUGUAGUGUUGAGGAAAAAGUUUCAGUCAAUUCUGAGAAAGUGGUCAUACACGUGCUCGCAGCGGCCCUCAUCUCUCCCACAUGUCCUAGUCACUAUGCAAUGAGCUAAGGUACAUAGGCAUAUAAGGGAUGUGUAGCACAACUUUCACCAAACCACUUGAAACUUUUUUAGGAUGUUUAUGUAGGUGAGGGAUGAUGUUGUGUGCACCAAGGCAAUUUUUGGACAAAUUUUAACUAUUUCUGUAAUUAUUUGUUGAUUUUCUAAAGAAAAAAAUGGAAAAAAUGCCUGAGGUGCCUAGAAAAAUCUGAAAACUUGUAUGGUCAUAUAAUUUAGCUGUGUAGAGUUGAAGAAAAAGUUUUAGUCAAUUCUGAGAAAGUGGUCAUGCACAUGCUCGCAGAGGCCCUCAUCUCUCCCACAUGACCUAGUCACUCUGAAAUGAGGUACAUAGGCAUAUAAGGGAUGUGUAGCACAACUUUCACCAAACCAUUUGAAACUUUUUUAGGAUGUUUAUGUAGGUGAGGGAUGAUGUUUUGCGCACCUAGGCAAUUUUUGGAGAAAUUUUACCUAUUUCUGUAAUUAUUUGUUGAUUUUCUAAAGAAAAAAAUGGAAAAAUGCCUGAGGUGCCUAGAAAAAUCUAAAAACUUGCAUGGUCACAUAAUUUAGCAGUGUAGUGUCGAGAAAAAAGUUUCAAUCAAUUCUGAGAAAGUUGUCAUGCACGUAAUCGCAGAGGCCCUCGUCUCUCCCACAUGUCCUAGUCACUUUGCAAUGAGAUACAUAGGCAUAUAAGAGAUGUGUAGCAUAACUUGCACCAAACCACUUGAAACUUGUUGAGGAUGUUUAUAUAGGUGAGGGAUGAUGUUGUGUGCACCAAGGCAAUUUUUGGACAAAUUUUACCUAUUUCUGUAAUUAUUUGUUGAUUUUCUAAAGAAAAAAUGGAAAAAAUGACUGAGGUAUCUAGAAAAAUCUAAAAACUUGCAUGGUCACAUAAUUUAGCUGUGUAGUGUUGAAGAAAAAUUUUCAGUCAAUUCUGAGAAAGUGGUCAUGCACGUGCUCGGAGAGGCCCUCAUCUCUCCCACAUGUCCUAGUCACUAUGCAAUGAGGUACAUAGGCAUAUAAGGAAUGUGUAGCAUAACUUUCACCAAACCAUUUGAAACUUUUUUAGGAUGUUUAUGUAGGUGAGGGAUGAUGUUUUGUGCACCUACGCAUUUUUUGACAAAUUUUACAUAUUUCUGUAAUUAUUUGUUGAUUUUCUAAAUAAAAAAUGGAAAAAAUACCUGAGGUGGCUAGAAAAAUCUAAAAACUUGCAUGGGCACAAAAUUUAGCUGUGUAGUGUUUAGAAAAAAGUUUCAGUCAAUUCUGAGAAAGUGGUCAUACACGUGUUCGCAGAGGCCCUCAUCUCUUUCACAUAUCCUAGUCAUUGUGUAAUGAGGUACAUAGGCAUAUAAGGGAUGUGUAGCACAACUUUCACCAAACCACUUGAAACUUUUUUGGGAUGUUUAUGUAGGUGAGGGAUGAUGUUGUGUGCACCUAGGCAAUUUUUAGACAAAUUCUACCUAUUUCUGUAAUUAUUUGUUGAUUUUCUGAAGAAAAAAAUGGAAAAAAAUGCCUGACGUGCCUAGAAAAAUCUAAAAACUUGCAUGCUCACAUAAUUUAGUUGUGUGGUGUUGAGAAAAAGGUUUCAGUCAAUUCUGAGAAAGUGGUCAUACACGUGUUCGGAGAGGCCCUCAUCUCUCCCACAUGUCCUAGUCCUUGUGUAAUGAGGUACAUAAGCAUAUAAGGGAUGUGUAGCACAACUUUCACCAAACUAUUUGAAACUUUUUUCGGAUGUUUAUGCAGGUGAGGGAUCAUGUUGUGUGCACCAAGGCAACUUUUGGACAAAUUUAACCUAUUUCUGUAAUUAUUUGUUGAUUUUCUAAAGAAAAAAGGGAAAAUACCUGAGGAGCCCAGAAAAAUCAUAAAAGUUGCAUGGUCACAUAAUUUAGCUGUGUAGUGUUGAGAAAAAAGGUUUAGUUAAUUCUGAGAAAGUGGUCAUGCAUGUGCCGGUCCUCCUCUCUCCCACAUGUCCUAGUCACUCUACAAUGAGAUACAUAGGUAUAUAAGGGAUGUGUAGCACAACUUUCACCAAACCACUUGAAACUUUUUUAGGAUGUUUAUGUAGGUGAGGGAUGAUGUUUUGUGCACCUAGGCAAUUUUUGGACAAAUUUUACCUAUUUCUGUAAUUAUUUGUUGAUUUUCUAAAGAAAAAAUGGAAAAAAUGACUGAGGUGCCUAGAAAAAUCUAAAAACUUGUAUGGUCAUAUAAUUUAGUUGUGUAGUGUUGAGGAAAAAGUUUUAGUCAAUUCUGAGAAAGUGGUCAUGCACGUGCUCGCAGAGGCCCUUAUCUCUCCCACAUGUCCUAGUCACUGUGAAAUGAGGUACAUAGGCAUAUAAGGGAUGUGUAGCACAACUUUCAGCAAACAAUUUGAAACUUUUUUAGGAUGUUUAUGUAGGUGAGGGAUGAUGUUUUGCGCACCUAGGCAAUUUUUGGACAAAUUUUACCUAUUUCUGUAAUUAUUUGUUGAUUUUCUAAAGAAAAAAUAGAAAAAUGACUGAGGUGCCUAGAAAAAUCUAAAAGCUUGCAUGGUCACAUAAUUUAGCAGUGUAGUGUUGAGAAAAAAGUUUCAAUCAAUUCUGAGAAAGUGGUCAUGCACGUGAUGGCAGAGGCCCUCAUCUCUCCCACAUGUCCUAGUCACUGUGCAAUGAGGUACAUAGGCAUAUAAGAGAUGUGUAGCAUAACUUGCACCAAACCACUUGAAACUUGUUUAGGAUGUUUAUAUAGGUGAGGGAUGAUGUUGUGUGCACCAAGGCAAUUUUUGGACAAAUUUUACCUAUUUCUGUAAUUAUUUGUUGAUUUUCUAAAGAAAAAAAUGGAAAAAAAUACCUGAGGUGCCUAGAAAAAUCUAAAAACUUGCAUGGUCACAAUUUAGCUGUGUAGUGUUGAGAAAAAAGUUUCAGUCAAUUCUGAGAAAGUGGUCAUGCACGUGCUCGUAGAGGCCCUCAUCUCUCCCACAUAUCCUAGUCAUUGUGUAAUGAGGUACAUAGGCAUAUAAGAGAUGUGUAGCACAACUUUCACCAAACCACUUGAAACCUUAUUAGGAUGUUUAUUUAGGUGCGGGAUGAUGUUGUGUGCACCUAGGCAAUUUUUGGACAAACUUUACCUAUUUCUAUAAUUAUUUGUUGAUUUUCUAAAGAAAAAAAUGGAAACAAAUGCCUGACGUGCCUAGAAAAAUCUAAAAUCUUGCAUGGUCACAUAAUUUAGUUGUGUAGUGUUGAGAAAAAAGUUUCAGAUAAUUCUGAGAAAGUGGUCAUACACGUGUUCGGAGAGUCCCUCAUCUCUCCCACAUGUCCUAGUCAUUGUGUAAUGAGGUACAUAAGCAUAUAAGGGAUGUGUAGCACAACUUUCACCAAACCAUUUGAAACUUUUUUCGGAUGUUUAUGUAGGUGAGGGAUCAUGUUGUGUGCACCAAGGCAACUUUUGGACAAAUUACCUAUUUCUGUAAUUAUUUGUUGAUUUUCUAAAGAAAAAAGGGAAAAUAUACCUGAGGUGCCUAGAAAAAUUUUAAAACUUGCAUGGUCACAUAAUUUAGUUGUGUAGUGUUGAGGAAAAAGUUUUAGUUAAUUCUGAGAAAGUGGUCAUUCACGUGCUUGCAGAGGUCCUCCUCUCUCCCACAUGUCCUAGUCACUCUACAAUGAGAUACAUAGGCAUAUAAGGGAUGUGUCGACGAAAGCUGAUCGGCAGUCUACCUUGGGGUAAACCCACGGUAUUAGUUUAUCGGUAGACGGUGCGCAAACUACGAACUCGAUGGUGACGCAAGACACGGACAAGCUUUUUAUCCAGGUUCGGCCGCCGAGUUGGGGUAAUACCUACGUCCUGCGUCUGAUUGUAUUGAUUUGUGUUGAGAGAAUAACCUGUCCUAGGGGGGUCCCUUGCCUCUCCUUAUAUAGUCCGGAGGGCAGGGUUACAGAUCUAGAAACUAAUCCUAGUCGGUUACAAUUGCCAUAGAUAGUUCGAUAUCAAUUCCUAUUCUUACCGAUUAGAAUCCUGCUUGAUUUCCACGUCUUGUUUCCUUGCGCGAAACUCUGAGCUGUCGGGUCAAGCCUUAAACUUGUCUCGUAAUGGGCCAAGCCUCCUGGCCCAAGUCUAGCCGUAAGGGUAUAGGGGUUUAUACCCCCACAGCUAGUCUCCGAGCACCACGUAUUGUGAAGUAACACGCCGCCUUGAGCUUCUUCUACCAAUGAAACUUGACAUCUCCAAUCAUCAUGAAAAUUGCCCAAAUAAUCGCAACAGUAUUUUGAUCAAAUCUAAAGAUAUUCGAUCAACAUCAUCAUCGAAGAAGCCAAUUGUUCGAAGAAUGCAUGGUGCUCUUGAGGAAAAAUAUUUCUUUUUUGGUGAAGUGUGCCCACUUUACUUUCUUGAAAAGUAGAGUCCUCCAAAAAGGCAAGCAAAUUCACCGCAAGGUGAAGUGUGCCCACUUAGUCCCCGAGCCUGGUAGCGGGUGACGUAGUCACGUGGUGCCAGGAUCAAAAGAAAAAUCCUCAAAAUAACUUUGAAUGUGAGAUGCAUCGCCAGAUGCAUCGUACCGAUGUAGUCCCCGAGCUUGCUGGAAGGCGAAGUAUGAACCUUGUAGCAAGGUCUAAAAAAUUAAAAUUAUCCAAUCCCCGAGCAUCUCAUACUCGUUUAGUACCGUAUAUACUUAUCAAUUUGACGAGCUGGUCAACCAGUCCUCGGGUGUACAACGCUCAGAGAUCGAUACAUCCCGCAGAUUACCGAACUAACAGACUAGACGACCAGUCCCCGAGCAUCAAGCGCUCAGUGGUCGGUGCAUCCCCAACAAACUUGACGACCAGUCCCUGAGCAUCAAGUGCUCGGUGGCCGGUGCAUUCCUUAAAGUUCCGAGUUAUUAGACUGGGUGACCAGUCCCCGAGCAUCAAGUGCUCGGUGGUCGGUGCAGUCCUCCAAUUUCUGAGUUGAUAGACUGGGCGACCAGUCCCCGAGCAUCAGAUGCUCGGUGGUCGGUGCAGUCCUCCAAUUUCUGAGUUGAUAGACUAGGCGACCAGUCCCCGAGCAUCAGAUGCUCGGUGGUCGGUGCAGUCCCCAGAUUGUUGACCCUCUACCAAUUUUUGUCUGUUUAUUUUGAAAAAAUCUUACCACAUAAAUGAUUGAUGUGACGAGACCUCCUGACGGAAUGUCAGAUGGUUGCGUGAAAAGUUGCGCCUGGUAACUGUGCAGCCGCCCGUUGCGCGUUUUGAGAAAAAGAAACUAUCAAUUUAUACGAAAUCUCCACUGCAUUAAUUGUCGAUAAUCAUGAAAAACCGAAGCGCCGCGUCCGCCGUUGGGCCCGCUCACUUCCCAAGAAUGUGGGAUGUGGGAGGGGUGGAGCUGUGGUUUAUAAAAUCCUAACAUUACCCCCGCAUUGCUUACCCUGCCAUUGCCUUCAAGCUUUCCGCUCUUACCUUCUACAACCACCUGCACCCUCCUAGCUCGAAACCACUCCCGCACCUCCAAUGGCGAAGAGCGACUCCAAGAAGAGGGCCGAGCUGAUGGCCAAGGAAUGGAAGAAAUCCCGCAGCACUGCAAAGUCCCUCGGUGACCUCGUUGAUAUGGGGCUACUGCACACCCCAGAGCUCGGCGGCUGGAGGGCGCCAGAGGGGGAGAGCUACCCCGACCCCCGCGCCGGUGAGAUCGUAGUGUUCGAAGAUUUUCUUAAGUGGGGUUUUGGGGUUCCAGUCCAUCCUUUUCUUCAGGGUCUUCUCUUGUACUAUGAGAUCGGGAUUUGCAAUCUACACCCGAACUCAAUCCUUCUCAUUUCUACCUUCAUUCAUCUGUGCGAGGCCUAUGUUGGCAUAGAGCCGCACUUCGAUCUUUUCUGCUAUCUUUUCUGUUUAAGGAAGAAGGGAGCGGUUGGAGGCUCCAAGAUUGCAGGUGGAGUAUACCUCAAUCUUCGCGACGGGAUGAAGAACCGUUAUCUGAGCUGUCUGUGGAACACUUCCCUAACCGAAUGGUACAGGAAGUGGUUCUACGUCAGGGAAGAACCGGGCAGCUCCACGUUCUGUGACGUGGGGUACGUCCCCGAGAAGAGGGUCAGUUGGACCGACCGCCCUGAGUUCGCCGGCCAAGUAGCGGACCUGAUGAAGCUGAUCGACUAGUCGCGCUUGGACGGGCUAGCAGUGGUCGGCAACUUCAUUUGUCGUCGGGUGAUGCCCUGCCAGAAGAGGGUGCACUCGGCGUACGAGUAUGCUGGAAGCCAAGACCCGACCAGGAUGACACCUGAGAUCUUAGAGAAGGCGGAGGUGCAGCAGUUGUUGAACGAGCUGUUCAACUUUGCUGACGGGAGCUUCAUCCAUGGUAGUGAUCAGGUGCAAGCUUUCAAGCUGGGGCGACCAGCUCCUAAGGUAACAUUACUUAUUGAUUGUUUCUCCUAAGUCUUUGUUCUUUCCAACUGCUGACUUGUCUUUCUUACUGUUGCAGAUCAGAGAUGUUGACCGGUGCAUAGUGUACGUGUCGCUGGCACCUGGGAUGGAGAACCCCGCGGGGGAAGAUCCCCCGGAGGAAGACACUGCUCGGUGUACUCGGUACACCAGCAGUGAGGAAGAGCAGGCCCGCCCCGUCCCGACCAUCGAGGAAAGAGUGGUGGGGAAAAGGCCUUUAUCAGUAGAUCCUUCCCCUGCGCCGACGCUGCCAGCAGAGAGCAGCCAAGCGCCAAAACGUCGUCGGCUCGUCCGGAUCGACGACGACGAGGAGGAGGAGGAGGAGGCCGCACCGUCGUUGGUCCGAAGGCCUCGCAGUCGCCCGGACAAUGCGCCGACCACCACUGAUCGGGUGGCCAGCGACCUUCCUGCCUCGAGCGUCGCAGAGACGGGAGCACAGGCGCCGACCGGCAGGGCCAGGCGGAGGUUCACCGCAGCCCACCGUCGAUCAGACCUGUAAGUGUUCAACUUUUGUACUCCGGCUUUUUUUGUUGUUUAAAAUGUCGCUUUGUUGUUUAGCGCGGCGUCGGACGUCAACCCCGACCAAGUCGCGGAGGCGAGGACGACCGAGCCUGCUACCGCCGUCGAGGACGCCACGCCGCGGGCCACAGAGCAGCCUGCGGCGGCAGCCGCUGCUACAGUUGCCGAAGGGCAAUCUGCCCCGGCGAGUGCCACGGCAAGCACUCCGCCGAGGGGUGAAGAGGCAGCGAGGACCCCUCCCCCGAAUACUGUUGCGGAGGAGGAAGGCAGAGUCCCGACCCCUCCGCCCGGGGAGGGGAGGGUCCCAACACCGCCCCGAGCAAGGGCCUCAUCGCCCGUGGGCUCCCCUUGCCUGGACCAGGGGCCGGUGAUGCCCAUAACCGCGGCCGGAGGUAAUGCGGCACAUGAGGAGCCCCAAGUGGCCUCUGACGACGACGUAGAAGAGGUCCAGGGUCGUCCCCGUGACGGCCGCCAGCACGUCUAUGUGUGGCGCCAACGCGAGGACCACUUUAUUGGACACGAGGAGCUCGCGGAGACGGAAGAGGCCGCGAGGGUGGAACGCGCAGCCAAGCGUCUCAUGGACGAGGUCAAGGUAGGUGGUCUGUGCAUUGUUCAGCAAGUAUAUGUAGUGCUCCUGUGCUCAACAUAUGUGUUUCCUUGCAGGGCGCGAUGAAAACGGCAAAGUACCGGAAACGGUGCUUCGACCAAAUCGAGGGCAUAGUGGCCGAGAACAAGGCCUUAUCCACAGAGGUGGACCGGCUGCGGUCCGAAGUUGGUGAGAAGGUGGCCGAGAUGAGUGCUCAGGAAGAGCGCCGUCUCGAGCUUACUCGACGCCUAGCCGAUCAGUAUCGGCAGAGGACAGGUUAGUUGCAUUCUCCGAACAGCUGCAUAUAGUUGUGUGAUUAGAUCUGCUGACCAGGAAUGUGUUAUUGUAGACUUGGAAGAGGAGGUUGCUCGCCUCCGACAAGAGAAAGAGCAGCUGGGUCAAGAGCUUGCUGGGGCAUUAGAGGCCGGAGGCCGAGCAGGCGAGGAGCUAGGCCCGAGGAACCGGGAGUUGUCUGGUAAGUAACCGUACCGCCCCCCUUUUAUAUAGCUGCUCAACGCUCUUUUCAUUGUGCUUAUACUGAUAUAUUUCUUGACUUGCAGUGCUCAAGGUGAAUGCCAAAAAGCACUUAGACGAGCUGGUCAAGGAUCGGGACUCCUGGAAGACUAAUUGUAUUAGGCUUUGGAAAGGAGUAGCCCCGGUCCUAGACCUGAUCAGCCCCGAGCUUCCAGAAAGCCAGCCCCGCGCGCCGAAACUGACGCCUGUCAAACAGGCGCAACGGGCAUGGGAUUGGCUCCAGCAGUUCAUAAAGGACGUCGGGGAGUUCGCUGGUGCGCAUAUCCUUAGCAUGGUGCGUGCCCACUACCCCCUGGUCGACUUGUCCAGGCUGGAGAAGGGGUAUCCCAAGGAGGUCGGCCCGCAGGAGGCGGACGAGCUUCGGGCCGGUCUGCUGGACUUGUCGUCGAUGGUGAUCGGCGACAUCAAUCUAUGCGGAAUGGCCACUCCCCCCAACCAGCCAGGUUCAGACAGGUUGGCCAGGGAGCUGUCGGGUGCGUCUAUUGCCGGAGAUGGGCGGUCGACGCCUGCGGUCUCGACCAGCCAGGCGCCGGUGGCCCCGACCCCUUCGUCCGGGCAGCAAGGCCAAGCGGGUGAUCAGCCCGAGCAGUAGGCCAGUAGGGUAGUCUGUAGGAGUAGACUAGUGACCACCCGUCAGGGUAUUUAUUGUAAACUUUGUAUGUAAAGUUUGUAAUAAAGUUUGCUUUUGUCAUGACUGUUAUUUUGAGAACUGUAAAGUUAACUGAGUGACGUGUCACUAUGUUUGAUUCAUAGCCGUUAAGAGUUUCCGUCGCGGAAGACUUUCCGAGCUCUGCGUGUAAACAAAGUAGAGACAAAAAGAAAAGCUUUUAUUAUUGACAACUAUAAGAGAUUUACAAGCAAAAGAUACUAGAACUUAUGGAUAAAAUCGGCGUAGUUUGUCUAUGUGCCAAGAGUUAGGCACGCGUGUUCCGUCUGGAUAUGCCAAUCUGUAGGAUGUGGGUUGUGUGACUUCGGCGACCACAAAGGGUCCUUCCCAGGGGGUGGAUAGCUUGUGCAUUCCCUCCUGGCUUGUUUUCCACCUGAGUACCAGAUCGCCGACCACGAAAGAACGGUCCUUGACGUUCCUGUUGUGGUACCUUCUGAUUGCUGCAAGAUACUUUGCUGUUCGGAGACAUGAAUUUAGACGCUUUUCCUCCAUGGAGUUAACUUCGAGCUCCCUGGCGUUGUCGGCUGUUGACUGGUCGAAGUUUUCAAUUCUAGGAGACCCGAAGGUUAUGUCAGACGGCAGAACUGCCUCGGUGCCGUAAACCAUGAAGUAGGGUGACACCCCCGUGUUCGGACUAGUCUGAGUUCGGAGACCCCAGACCACGGCUGGUAACUCUUUCAUCCAUCGACCAGGUGCUCUAUCGUUCUCGGUGUACAACCUUUUCUUUAAGGCGUCAAUGAUCAUUCCGUUCGCAUGCUCGACUUGGCCAUUUGCCCGUGGGUGAGCUACUGACACGUACUUUAUGACUAUACCUCUGUCAUCGUAGAAGUCCCAAAAUGUAGUGCCAGUGAACUGAGUGCCCAAGUCGUUGAUUAUACUGUUUGGGAUCCUGAAUCUGUGUAUGAUUUGAUUGAGGAACUCCACAGCCUUCUCGGAGGUUGCUUUGACCAAUGGCAUGUAUUCGAUCCAUUUUGAGAAUUUGUCGAUUAAUACGAAGACGAACUUCAAGUUGCCCGGGGCCGGUUUAAAUGGCCCGAUCAUGUCGAGCCCCCAGCAGGCGAAAGGCCAGGACGACGGAAUAGUUUGAAUCUCGUGAGCAGGUACGUGGGUCCUUUUGGCGAAGAACUGACAUCCCUCGCAGUGUCGGACCAGUUUUUCUGCGUCGUUGACCGCGGUUGGCCAGUAAAAACCUGCUCGGAAAGCUUUCCCGACCAGCGUUCUGGAGGCAGCAUGAUUGCCGCAGGAUCCGGCAUGUAUAUCGUCUAGGAGCUUGAUGCCAUCAUCUUGGGAUAUGCAUUUGAGCAGCACUUCAGAACUUGCGUUUUUCGCAUAAGUUUGCCGUCCACCAGUAUGUAAUUCUUUGACCGUCGAAUGAGGCGCUCGUUCUCUGUUUUGUCCUGAAAGCCUGACCCAUCCGAUAUAUAUUUGAUGAACGGGGUGCGCCAAUCACGGCCACUGGUUGUCAGAGUAGUAUCGUCUAUAAGCAUUGCCUCCGUGGGUUGCUUUUCGACCAGGCCUGUGCCCACGCUUGGCUCAUGGAUGUCCUGGACGAAAACACCUCACGGGAUCUGGGCCCGAGAUGACCCUAACUUUGACAAGGCAUCUGCUGCUUGGUUCUUAUCCCGGACCACGUGGAUGUAUUCUAUGCCAUAGAAGUUGGUUUCCUAUUUGUGAAUUUCUUUGCAAUAGAGAUCCAUCUUCUCGUGGGUUGCGUCCCAUUCCUUGUUGAGCUGGUUGAUAACCAACGCGGAGUCACCAUAGACAUAGAGGCGUUUGACUCCCAACUCAACGGCUAGUCGUAUGCCGUGCAGGCAUGCUUCGUACUCGGCGACGUUGUUUGAUGCCGGAAAGAGGAGCCUAAGGACGUAACGCAGUUUGUCCUUGUUAGGCGAUACGAAAAGUAUCCCAGCGCCGGCACCGCUGAUGUUUAAGGACCCGUCGAAGAACAUCGACCAGUGGUCGGAAACGUCGGGAACGGGAGGUUCGUUGAGAUCCGUCCAUUCUGCAAUGAAAUCGACUAGGGCCUGAGACUUGAUUGUGGUGCGACUCUGGAAUUCCAGGGAGAAUGGGCAUAAUUCCAUUGCCCAUUUUACAAUUCUGCCGUUGGCGUCUUUAUUGCGCAGAAUAUCCCCAAGAGGGAAACUGGUGGUUACCAAGACUCGAUGGCCGUCAAAGUAGUGCUUUAGCUUCCUUGACGUUAUUAGAAUGGCAUAUAUGAGCUUCUGUAUUUGCGGGUAUCUGGCCUUGGACUCAUUUAAGACUUCGCUUAUGAAGUAAACGGGUCUCUGGACCUUGUAGACGUGGCCUGGCUCGUCUCGCUCGACCACUAUUGCUGUGGAGACGACCCUGUCGGUUGCUGCAAUGUAAAGAAGUAGGUCUUCAUUGGGUUGAGGCGCCGUGAGAACAAGCGGUGAGUUGAGGAAAGUCUUAAGCUGGGUGAACGCAGCAUCAGCCUCUUCCGUCUAGGAGAAUUUUUCUGACGCUUUCAAGAGUUUGAAGAAGGGGAGGCCUUUUUCUCCUAGCCUUGAGAUGAAGCGGCUGAGAGCGGCCAUACAUCCGGUGAGCUUCUGAAUAUCUUUGACAUUCUUAGGUGGUCGCAUGUCAAGUACUGCUUUUACUUUUGAAGGAUUCGGUCGUAUGCCGUCGCGGCUGACGACGUUGCCGAGUAGUAGACCGGAGGGGACCCCAAAGAUGCACUUUUUGGGAUUGAGUUUCCACUUAUACUUGUUUAGUGCUUUGAAGGUUCGGUCUAAGUUGUCGAUUAGGGUGCUGGCGUCCCUUGUUUUGACGACGACGUCGUCUACAUAAGCCUCGACGAGGUCGUCACGAAUCUCGUCGUGGAGGCAUUGCUGGAUGGCCCUUUGAUAGGUGGCCCCGGCGUUUUUGAGUCCGAAGGACAUGGUCGUAUAGCAAUAUGCACUGAAAGGAGUAAUGAAAGAUGUUUUGAUCUGAUCGUCUUCCUUUAGCGAGAUCUGGUGAUAACCAGAGUAGCAAUCUAGAAAAGAAAGGAGUUCGCAUCCGGCCGUUGAGUCGACCACCUCGUCGAUGCGAGGAAGACCAAAAGGAUCUUUAGGAUAGUGUUUAUUGAGAUCAGUGUAAUCAACGCACAUUCUCCAUUUAUUAUUCUUUUUGCGUACAAGAACCGGAUUGGCAAGCCAAUCGGGAUGAUACACUUCUUUUAUGAAUCCGGCUGCUAGAAGCCGUGUUAUUUCUGUCCUAAUAGCCUCCUUUUUGUCACGAGCGAACCGUCGCAGCUUUUGCUUGAUGGGUCUUGCGGUCUUCGAGACAUUUAAGGAGUGCUCGAUCAGGUUUCGUGGGACGCCGGGCAUGUCUGCGGGUUUCCAUGUGAAAACGCUUACGUUGUCCCUUAGAAACCUGACGAGCGAGUCUUCCUAUUUAGGGUCCAGGUUGGCCCCGAUGAGGGCCGUCUUCUCGGGGCUGCCUUCGACCAGCUGCACUUCCUUGUGCUCCUUGGAUUUUGAGUUCUUCCUGGCGGUCUCCUGCUCGGGUAGUCGAAGCUGGUCGGGAGGUAGCUGUGCAGCUUGGGUUGCUGUCUCUACCAUGCGGAUUGAGAGAUGGAUUGCUUCGGUGAUCUUGAACCUCUCCUCCUCGCAAGUAUAUGCAGUGUAGACAUUGCCCCUGACGGUUAGGACGCCUUUCUCCGUGGGCAUUUUAAGGACCAGGUAUGAGUAAUGUGGGACUGCCAUGAACUUUGUUAGCGAUGGCCGGCCUAGUAUAGCGUGGUAAGUCCCAUCAAAGUCAGCGACCACAAAGUUGACGAACUCUGUUCGGAAGUGGUCGGACGUGCCAAAUUGGACAAGCAAUGUUAUCUGUCCGAGGGGCACUGAACUCUGGCCGGGCAGGACUCCCCAGAAUUGAGCAUCGUAGGGUUUUAGCUGUGCCGGAGAUAACUUGAGAGCGGGCAGGCUGUUAUGGAAAAGGAUGUCAAUGGAGCUUCCUCCGUCCACGAGCACCCGCUCGAAUCUGAUGCUGUUGAUGCAAGGGUCCAAGAUUAGAGGGAAACGACCUGGCUCUGGGAUAGCGGCCCACUGAUCCUUCCUGCUGAAGGAGAUCUCUCUGGAAUUUCGGGUCUGCGAUCAGGCCAUCCGAGCUGUCUAUGUUGAGGCAGGCUCUUUUUAGGAGCUUUCUUUCUCGCUUAGAUUCGAUGGAGACCUUGCCCCCGAAGAUGGAGUGGACCACGUCGGUGGGACUAACAUACUGGUGUCGUGGGUCCCUAUAUUGGUCCUCGUCCUCGUCUUCGUGGUCGCGUCCGUCUUGCUUCCCAUUCUUCUUGGCGGAGUCGUCUUGGGCGGCCCGCCAUGUGUAAAUGUUUUUGAGGACGCGGCACUCUUCCAUGGUAUGGUUGGACUUUGGAUGCAGUUGGCACGGUCCCUUCAACGUUUUGUUGUAGUCUUCUUGGUAGUCCCGCCGCCCGUUGGGGCGUUUGACUGUAUUCACUUCGUGGUCAUGGUCGCGGGGGCGCUUUCCUCUGAAAUCAUCGCGAUUGUUGCGCCGGCUAUCCCAACCUUCCCUGUGAUCACGGUUGUCGGGACGGCGGUGGUUCCUGUUGUCGAAACGACCGCGACUAUCAUCUCGCCGGGGAGGCUGGUCGCGACCUCUCGCAUCGUCCCGGAUGAGUUUUUCUGCGUCGUCGGCGUCGGCGUAAUUUUUAGCCGUGGCGAGGAGCUCGGCCAUCGUUGUUGGCCUUUUGCGCAACAGCUUGUUCCUCAGUGCUUCAUGGAAGCACAGCCCCUUGAUGAAAGCAUAUAUGGCCUCGUCGUGGGAAAUCUUCAGGAUCUUAAGGCGCAUAUCCGAGAAUCGUCGGAUGUAAUCACGCAGAGGCUCAUUUUUCCUGUCCCUUAUCCUUUUGAGGUCGUACUUGUUUCCAGGCUGCUCGCAUGUGGCGAUAAAAUUGUCGAUGAAAGCCUGGCACAGCUCUUCCCAAGAGUCGAAGGAGUCCUCGGGCAGGCCAAGGAGCCACUGGUGACCAGCCUGGUCAAGGACUACUAGGAAGUUGGCCAUGACGUGCUCGUCUCCUGCUGCUGAUCGGACGGCGAUCUCGUAAAGAGUGAUCCAGUUUUCUGGAUUUUCCUUGCCGUCAUAUUUUUUGAGUUUCUCGAGCUUGAAAUUGCGAGGCCACACGACCUGGCGGAGGUGUGAGAAGAACUGCCUCAGGCCCGAGGGGCCGUGUGUUGCAUCAUAUUCGAUACGACGCAGGUUUUCGUGGACUGCUCUCUCCGUGGCGCGCCUGUUGAUGCGGUCUCAGGCGUCUUUGAGAGGGAUGUUGUAUCGAAGAUCCCUGUGCUGGUUUACUUCCUGACCACGCCCAUGAUUCUGCUCGCGACGACCGCCAGCAUCCCGACCGCCAUCGCCACGCCGUGAGUCUUUUCGAUGAUCGUUGGGAGAAAGGUUGCGGUGGUGCCCGCUGGGCUGUGGUGAGGUCCGGCUGCGGUGAGUCUGGUCGGAGGAGGCCUCUGUGUAAGAGACGGCUUGGACUCUUUUGAGCAGAGUGGCUGUUUGCCCCAUAGUAGCGAUCAGAUGUGCCCGAACGCUGGAUCGGACGCCCUGGCACUCGGGAGUAUCAGGGAGUCGAUCUAAAUUGGCCAUGGCGACAGCCACAUUGGCGCUUGGCGUUUUGUAGACUUGCUGAUCCCCGACCAUGUCGAAAGCGUCGCUGAGAUUAUGCGGCAGGAAUUCGUGUUCCUGGUCUGCGCGUCGUCGGGCACGGUCGGUGUUGCGCUGCUCGCGGAGCUGCCUCUGCUCGUCUGUUUCUCCAUCAACAGCCGGCUCGUCGGCGCUGACGUUGAAAACGAUAUCUCCUCGCCGAGGUGGGAAGACCGGGAAACGAGGGAAACCCGGAGGAUAUGGAGGCAAAUCUAGAUCAUAGUCCUCGUCCUCGGAGUUUAUGACUUCAGUGGGAACGGAACCAGUGCUCGAAUUUGUGCUGGAAGCCUGGCCGUCCCGUAGUUCUUGGACCGUCACCAUGUUGACGUGGUGACGAGCUGACCGACCGUUCCACUUUGGCAGCCAACCCGCCUCGUUAAAAAGGGAUUGGACAUGCCGUGAGUAGAGAGAGGCCGAGUUGUUCAGACCGCAAGGAUACCCUUCCUCCGGAUCAGCCUUGGUCUUGACGGACCGUCCCGAGGGGGUGGAGGUUAUCGUCAGAGUCGCCCCCAGCUGUUCGUGUGUGACGACACGAGUUGGCCGGUAGGAUUUGAAAAAAUCCGCUGGUGCGGCUUGAUCAGGUUGACAUAAGAUCCCAUCUACUAGUAGAGAAGCCUCGAGAAGCUCGGAAUCAGCGCGAUCAAGCACUCGGAGAAGAUCCGAGCCGUUAAUCUUCUUUCCCUUGUAGCGUCGGAGUGGUGGUCGGGUGCUCGGUACCAGCAUCCGUGUGGUCGGAGCCGAUGCCGCCGUCAUCCCAGAUUGGAUCUGGGUUCCCUCCGAAACCGUGGUCGUGAGACCGCCGCCGUGCGUCGUCCAUGUGAUCUGGCCGACGGUGAACGUGAGGCCUUCGGGCACGGCCGCGGAAGCUGGGAUGAUGACCAUCUUGUUCGUCAGAGGAGUUGUACGCACACACCCCCUACCUGGCGCGCCACUGUCGACGAAAGCUGGUCGGCAGUCUACCUUGGGGUAUACCCACGGUAGUAGUUUAUCGGUAGACGAUGCGCAAACUACGAACUCGAUGGUGACGCAAGACACGGACAAGCUUUUUAUCCAAGUUCGGCCGCCGAGUUGGCAUAAUACCUAUGUCCUGCGUCUGAUUGUAUUGAUUUGUGUUGAGAGAAUAACCUGUCCUAGGGGGGUCCCUUGCCUCUCCUUAUAUAGUCCGGAGGGCUGGGUUACAGAUCUGGAAACUAAUCCUAGUCGGUUACAAUUGCCAUAGAUAGUUCGAUAUCAAUUCCUAUUCUAACCGACUAGAAUCCUGCUUGAUUUCCACGUCUUGUUUCCUUGCGCGAAACUCUGAGCUGUCGGGUCAAGCCUUAAACUUGUCUCGUAAUGGGCCAAGCCUCCUGGCCCAAGUCUAGCCGUAAGGGUAUAAGGGUUUAUACGCCCACAGGAUGUGUAGCAUAACUUUCACCAAACCACUUGAAACUUUUUUAGGAUGUUUAUGUAGGUGAGGGAUGAUGUUUUGUGCACCUAGGCAAUUUUUGGAUAAAUUUUACCUAUUUCUGUAAUUAUUUGUUGAUUUUCUAAAGAAAAAAUGGAAAAAAUGCCUGAGGUGCGUAGAAAAAUCUAAAAACUUGUAUGGUCACAUAAUUUAGCAGUGUAGCGUUGAUAAAAAAGUUUCCGUCAAUUCUAAGAAAUUGGUCAUGCACGUGCUCGCAAAGGCCCUCAUCUCUCCCACACGUCCUAGUCACUUUGCAAUAAGGUACAUAGGCAUAUAAGGGAUGUGUAGCACAACUUUCACCAAACCACUUAAAACUUUUUUAGGAUGUUUAUGUAGGUGAGGGAUGGUGUUGUGUGCACCUAGGCAAUUUUUGGACAAAUUUUACCUAUUUCUGUAAUUAUUUUUUGAUUUUGUAAAGAAAAAAUGGAAAAAAAUGCCUGAGGUGCCCAGAAUAAUCUAAAAACUUGCAUGGUCACAUAAGUUAGCUGUGUAGUGUUGAGUUAAAAGUUUCAGUCAAUUCUGAGAAAGUGGUCAUACACGUGCUCGCGGAGACCCUCAUCUCUCCCACAUGUCCUAGUCAUUGUGCAAUGAGCUACAUAGGCAUAUAAGGGAUGUAUAGCACAACUUUCACCAAACCACUUGAAACUUUUUUAGGAUGUUUAUGUAGGUGAGGGAUGAUGUUGUGUGCACCAAGGCAAUUUUUGGACAAAUUUUACCUAUUUUUGUAAUUAUUUGUUGGUUUUCUAAAGAAAAAAAUAGAAAAAAUGCCUGAGGUGCCUAGAAAAAUCUAAAAACUUGCAUGAUCAUAUAAUUUAGCUGUGUAGUGUUGAGAAAAAAGUUUUAGUCAAUUCUGAGAAAGUGCUCAUGCACGUGCUCGUAGAGACCCUCAUCUCUCCCACAUGUCCUAGUCACUAUGAAAUGAGGUACAUAGGCAUAUAAGGGAGUGUAGCACAACUUUCACCAAACCAUUUGAAACUUUUUUAGGAUGUUUAUGUAGGUGAGGGUUACCUAUUUCAGUAAUUAUUUGUUGAUUUUCUAAAGAAAAAGUGGAAAAAAUGCCUGAGGUGCCUAGAAAAAUAUAAAAACUUGCAUGGUCACAUAAUUUAGUUGUGUAGUGUUGAGAAAAAAGUUUCACUCAAUUCUGAGAAAGUGGUCAUACACGUGCUCACAGAGGCCCUCAUCUCUCCCACAUGUCCUAGUCAUUGUGCAAUGAGGUACAUAGGUGUCGGCGUCUAGACACAAACGAGUAUAAAUAUGCGUGACUACCUAAGCCUGGAUGGUGAUGCAAGUGGAACACAGAGAAUUUAUACUGGUUCGGGCCAAGAAUGCCCUACGUCUAGUGAGAUCGGGAGUUUGUAUAACCUUGAACCCGAAGGUGCUUGUAGUAGGGGGGUACAAGUAUGUUGCGAGAGAGGGCUAAGUCCCAAGUCUCGGCUUUGUGGUGGACAGAGCGCUGGUUGCUACUCUGUGAGUGAGUGUGGUGAUCGUGUGUCGUGUGUCUCUAUGACCCUUGUGAACCUUGGCUCCCCUUUUAUAGCCUCAAGGGGAGGCAGGUAUUUACAUGGGGGUUUGGAGAUUUUCCCUACCGAGUGGAGGAGUGACAGUCCCGACCCUGUAGGAGCUUGCCCAUGCCGUCCUUGAAGCAUGGUUGACAGUAUGGUUGUUCCUGUGGGGGGUUGCCGAGCCCUGUUGGAGUCGUGGGGGUCGGGUCGGUGACCCUGUUGCCUGUCCUGUUAACAGUGGGAGAAGACAGCAGAUAGUGACAUUGAUUAAUCUCCUCCAUUCCUCUUUUACUGUGAGGCAGUACACCACAGUAAAAGAGGUAAGGUUGCAUAGUGAAAGAGGUAAGGCAACAGUGACCAGGGUGGAUGGAAUAGUCGCCACCAUGCCCUGCUGUGAUAUGGAAGUCAUUGCGCCUAUCAUGUCGAGGGUACGGGCGCCGUGCGUCCGAAGCCUUAUCCUGACCCGGUGGAGUGGCGUUUAGCGCCCGAGCCCUGGACGGGUCGGGCGAGACAGAACUUACGCCCGAGGCCCAGGGGGUCGGGCGAGGCGGUGUCUGCGUCCGAGCCCUGGGGGGUCGGGCGAGACGGAACUCGUGCCCGAGGCCAGUGGGGUCGGGCGAGCCGUGUUUUGGGCUCGAGAUUGAGGAAGUAGAUGGGCUGGGGCCCGCGUCUUGGUGAUCCUAGGGGGCUUGCUUUGCCUUUUGCGUUUUUUAUUGCUCUGAUUUGGGUAUCCCCUUUUUAUGGUACCCAACAGUAGCCCCCGAGCAUUUGAAGGGGUGAGGUUACCUCUUCAAAGGUUCUCUUCUAAGGGACCUUUGUUGACUGGGGACUUUUUUACUUUUUCUCCGGAGGGUGCGCGCGUGCGCACCCGCCGGGUGUAGCCCCCGAGCCUUUUGGAGGAAUGGUGUUAUUCCUUCAAAGGCUUUUACCCCCGAGUGAUUUGGUCGGGAGUAUUUGAGGGAUAGGCUGCGUGUUCUUUACACGUAGUGGCUGUUCCCGUGGUGUGAGGAAGCCCCUGAGCCCUUUCCCCGCAAGGGUCGAUCAGGUUCUUUCUCAUCUUCUAAUUAAGUCCCUCAUUCAUCCUUUCGCUCGGAGGAGGGGUGGGUCACGCCGUACUACCCUCGAUGGGCAAGUCUCGACGUUCCCCGAGAGCUGCAAGCGGGUGAAUCCAAGUGGAUGUCCGAGCCCUAUUCGAUAAGGGUCGGCUAGUGGCCUUAUGGGCACAUCUCAAAAUACCCGAGGGCAGUCACGGUGGAUGUCCGAACCAUUCGCUAGAUUCCGAGGGCUCGGUGCCUCCCUCGAUGGGAUCCCACUCGCGUGACACCCGCAUGGGUCUUGGAUAUAACUGGUAAAGAUGCACCGACCCCUUAUGGGGCUCGGACCUUGGCCUCUAUUGUGCUCAUCUUCAAUCAUCCCUCGCUCAGUUAUGAGGCGACUGUUGGAACCUAUUUUUGCAGGUCAGUCUCGCAACCUCUAGAACGUAGGUGGCUAUGGCCUGGGGAUUUUCGGCCUCGAAAGGCUUUUUUAGAUUUGUUUGCAAUAUCGGGGUCGGGCGAGACGGGGUCUGCGCCUAAUGGGAACCCCCUUGUGAUUUUCGCUCGGGGUCAUGAAGGGAUCGGGCAAGACGGAGUCUGUGCCCGAUGGAGACCGCCCUACGACCUUGGUCAGCGGGGGGGGGGGGUCGAGCGCCGCUUGCCCUAGAAGGAACCGCCCUGACAUAACUUUUCAGAGCGCUCCUAUCGAGGCGCGGCACGUGGGGAGUCGAAACGGCCGUGCUGUUGUGCCCUGACUGGAUGGGACGUUUCACCUGUGAAAUUAUUGCGCGCGUGCGGCGGGCAUGAGAAUCGGAGGGAGUUGGUGCUUCGAAUUUUUCACCUGGUGGGAAGUGGGUGCGGUUGCUCUUUCUCCCAUUUUGUCUUCUAUGCAGGUGGUGCGGCCGUGGUGCGCUCCCUCUAUAAAAGGAGUCGCGCGGGACUUGGUUUCUUUUCUACUGCUCCUGCGCAAAAAAGCUCCUGCCGCCAUCUUCUCCACUUCUGCUGCGCAGACGCCCUACUUCACCAGGAGCCAUGGCCGGCGACGAUACGUGGCCGCCUUGCAAUGUCACCAAGUCCGCGCUGGAGGCGCGCGUGAAGUUAGGGAUCCUCCGCCCCCUCAGGGACGUCGAGCUGCCGGAGUGGAUCGUUCCCUCAGCGAACGAUAGGGAGCCAAACCCGCCCCCAGGCUAUGUGGUUUGCUUUCUAUCGUUCCUAGACCAGGGGUUCGGAACUCCGACUGGUCGCCUGAUCCGGGCGAUUCUCCAUUACUAUGAGGUGGAGCUGCACAACCUCAACCCUAAUUCGGUGAUGCAGGCAGCCGUCUUUGCCACGGUAUGCGAGGGGUUCCUGGGCGUUCCUCCCCAUUAGAACCUCUGGCUUCACCUUUUUAAGGCGGAGAUGUCCGCCCGUUACGUGGGUGGGGAGAAGUUCCCCCUACGAGUCCGUGGUUGCACGCUGGAGCUCCGCCAGCAGCGGUCUUCCCAGUACAUCUGGAGUGUGAUGCCCUCAUCGAACCGGGGGUGGCAGAAUGGAUGGUUCUACCCCCGGAAUGACGGUGGGCUGCUCCCGGCGUACACAGGGAAGAUGGUGACUGAGUGCCCCCAGAAGUGGGUGUGGGGCGCUCCUACAGAGGAGCAGAAGAGGCUUGCCCCGCUUCUUGCGGGGCUCGAGAAGCUGCGGGACGCCCGAGUCACCGCGGCCACGGUGGCGAUGGCGUUCCACAAGAGGAGUCUGCUCCCGCUGGUGUAGCGGCGAGCAUUCAUGUUUGAGAUGACCCGGGACGUCCCCUGGGCCAUGACGAAGAUGUUGGCCGAGCCGAUAUCGGACAUCGGACAUCGCCGCCCGGGUGGAGAAGACGACACACCCGGAGAUGAAGAACUCCCCGGUGGUGCCGAUGCGCCCCAAAAAGGGCUACAUUUCUCUGGUAAGAAGAUGUUUCUUUUACUUUGAUCUCUUGUAUUUGUUUUCAACUUCUUCCUAUUUCAAUCCUUUUCUCUGCUCGUCUUACAGGGGAUGGGGAUCGUUAGGGAUUCCCUGCCCCCAGUCCUAGAGGACAAGGAGAUUCGGGCCAAGAAUUGGGCCCAGAACGAGGAGCAGAAGAAAGCCAAGGAGGACAAGAAGGCGAAGGCUGCGAGGAAGGCGCAGCGGUGAGAGAUUUCCGCCAAGAACCACCGCGACGCCGAGAAGGCGGGAGUCCCUCCGCCCGCUUCUCUUGAGACGUCGGUCUUGGAAAUAGAGGGUGGAGGGGACAACGUGCAUUGGCUCGACGAGUUGGUGGCGGAGGAGGAUGACGUGAUCCCCCCUGUCGGCGGGGGGAUUGAGAUCCCGGAGGGGUCGUGGGCCCCAGGGGGUCAGAGGCUCCUGAGGGGUCCCAGGCGCCGGGGGGUAGGCAGACCGUCCCCCACAUCAUCGUAGAUGAUGAGGACAGCGCCCCUCGGGAGGGCUCGGUGUUGACGGUUCUUAAGUAUCAAUUUUAAUUAUCAAAUAAACAAGAGAAAGGACCAAUAUGCAACCAACACCUAGAAUUAGGGUUUGAUCUGAUAGAAUUCCACGAGUUUUGUUGUUUAUCUAUUUCUGCAGGGGG